GCGCUCGUAGCUCAGUAGGAUAGAGCAGGUUCUUGCUAGGUCCCAGGUCGCCGGUUCGAAUCCGGCCGAGCGCACCA
rnacentral:tRNA from 1 species